AGCGAACGCUGGCGGCAGGCCUAACACAUGCAAGUCGAACGCGUGUGCAAUACACGAGUGGCAGACGGGUGAGUAACACGUGGGAACGUGCCCUUCGGUUCGGAAUAACUCAGGGAAACUUGAGCUAAUACCGGAUACGCCUUACGGGAAGAUUAUCGCCGAAGGAUCGGCCCGCGUCUGAUUAGCUAGUUGGUGAGGUAACGGCUCACCAAGGCGACGAUCAGUAGCNGGUCUGAGAGGAUGAUCAGCCACACUGGGACUGAGACACGGCCCAGACUCCUACGGGAGGCAGCAGUGGGGAAUAUUGGACAAUGGGGGAAACCCUGAUCCAGCCAUGCCGCGUGAGUGAUGAAGG
rnacentral:rRNA from 1 species